rnacentral:rRNA from 1 species
GGAACUACGUGCCAGGAGGCGCGGUAGGGGGUAGGUGGGGGGCGUGGUCCGGAUUGAUUGGGCGGAAAGAGCGCGUAGGCGGCUCACUAAGUCGGAUGUGAAAACUCCAGGCUCAACCUGGAGACGCCAUUCGAUACUGGUGUGGCUAGAGUCCAGUAGGGGAGUGUGGAAUUCCUGGUGUAGCGGUGAAAUGCAUAGAUAUCAGGAGGAACACCAGCGGCGAAGGCGGCACUCUGGGCUGGUACUGACGCUGAGGAGCGAAAGCGUGGGGAGCGAACAGGAUUAGAUACCCCUGUAGUC